rnacentral:pre_miRNA from 1 species
UUAACUCAUAUUUGUAUGGAAUGGGAUCGUUUGCGUACGUUUGCCGCUAGGGGCGCUGUUCCAACUGCAUACAAAAUUGGCUUA